rfam:Vigna angularis cultivar Jingnong 6 scaffold41_35, whole genome shotgun sequence.
AAUCUAUGAUUUGGGCACUUUUUAAGUGAGGCUUUGUAUCUUUCAAAUGCUUCACAGAAGUAUUCACCCAAUCCUUGGGAAAAGGUUGCAAUAACAACCUUAACACU